rnacentral:rRNA from 1 species
UACAGAGGUCCCAAGCGUUGUUCGGAUUCACUGGGCGUAAAGCGUCUGUAGGUGGCUUUUUAAGUCUGCCGUCAAAUCCCAGGGCUUAACCCUGGACAGGCGGUGGAAACUACCAAGCUGGAGUACGGUAGGGGCAGGGGGAAUUUCCGGUGGAGCGGUGAAAUGCGUAGAGAUCGGAAAGAACACCAACGGCGAAAGCACUCUGCUGGGCCGACACUGACACUGAGAGACGAAAGCUAGGGGAGCGAAUGGG